AUUGAACGCUGGCGGCAGGCUUAACACAUGCAAGUCGAGCGGGGUGAUGGUGCUUGCACUAUCACUUAGCGGCGGACGGGUGCGUAAUGCUUAGGAAUCUGCCUAUUAGUGGGGGACAACAUCUCGAAAGGGAUGCUAAUACCGCAUACGUCCUACGGGAGAAAGCAGGGGAGCACUUGUGACCUUGAGUUAAUAGAUGAGCCUAAGUCGGCUUAGCUAGUCGGUGGGGUAAGGGCCUACCAAGGCGACGAUGUGUAGCGGGUCUGAGAGGAUGAUCCGCCACACUGGGACUGAGACACGGCCCAGACUCCUACGGGAGGCAGCAGUGGGGAAUAUUGGACAAUGGGGGGAACCCUGAUCCAGCCAUGCCGCGUGUGUGAAGAAGGCCUUAUGGUUGUAAAGCACUUUAAGCGAGGAGGAGGCUCUUUUGGUUAAUACCCAAGAUGAGUGGACGUUACUCGCAGAAUAAGCACCGGCUAACUCUGUGCCAGCCGCCGCUGUAA
rnacentral:rRNA from 1 species